ensembl:lncRNA ZNF503-AS2 ZNF503 antisense RNA 2
GCUUUUCCGCCCCGGCUCUUCUUUUGUUGUCAAGUCCUUUUGAUAAAUGGUGGGGCUGGGAGCUCUGGGAGUCGGGAGCCAGUCUGUGCCCGCGUGGGGGGCGGGGGCCGAGCCUGGAGACCCGGUUUCGACCGGCGCGCACCUGGGGCUGAGCCGGGUGCGCGCGGGGGUCGGGUCUGGAACUGCCCUUGGUAUGCUCGCCCUCUCCUCUUGGCCCAUCUCACUCCCCUCCCCCACCUGACUCCCCUCCCCGGCUUCUUUCUCUGUCUCCCACUCCGCACGGGUACCGAGAACUUUCCGGGAAUCGACGGGAUUUCUCUGGCUGUCGUUUGCGCUGCAUUUAUCCGAAUACAUCCAGCUCGCAGGCAUCCUGCAAGAAACGGCUCCCGGCUCGCGUGUACGCCGACACCUCGGCCCAACGCAGGACUCGAGGUGGUUUCUAGUGCCCGGGUGGCUGCAAGUCUGCCCUCCGAGGGAGGCUGGACAAGCGGCGCCCCCAGGUCGAGCGGCCUCUCGCUGCCUGGCAGUGCCUGGCAGCCCCCACCUCUGCCAGUGCUUCGGAAACCCGCCUGGCCAGGUUCGCCCGCGGUGAAAAAUGAAAGCAAAUUCCCCAACAGAGGUAGCCGGAACUUUCCUCGACGAAGGCUCCCUCCUGCGCCUGUGUCUGGAGAACCCCCAGAGCGCUGCAAGUUAGCAAGAGAGAUUCGAUGGCGGCUCUGGAAGGCGCACGAAGGGUGGGGCGGGGGAGCAAAGAGGCCACUGGGUGACCCAGCCUGGUCCGGGGUGAAACGCUAGAGAAGGCGCCUCGCCUUCCUUAUUUCAAUGCAACUCCUCGGCCCCAGACGGUAAAAAUAGUUUCCAAGCUGCCGCGGACGCCCAGGAUGUGUUUGCAGAGAUCAAACUGGGGAGGAGGCAGCUUUGUAAAAGUUGCAGAAAGAUUAGCCGAGAAGCGUCCGCCCGGCGGGGCUCAAGAAAGCUUGGGGACAGCUCCAUGUUCCUUGGGGCG